UACGGGGGGGGCAAGCGUUGUUCGGAAUUACUGGGCGUAAAGGGCUCGUAGGCGGCCAACUAAGUCAGACGUGAAAUCCCUCGGCUUAACCGGGGAACUGCGUCUGAUACUGGAUGGCUUGAGGUUGGGAGAGGGAUGCGGAAUUCCAGGUGUAGCGGUGAAAUGCGUAGAUAUCUGGAGGAACACCGGUGGCGAAGGCGGCGUUCUGGACUGCAACUGACACUGAUAGACGAAAGCCAGGGGAGCAAACGGG
rnacentral:rRNA from 1 species